UACGGGGGGAGCAAGCGUUGUUCGGAUUUACUGGGCGUAAAGGGCGCGUAGGCGGCCACCGCAAGUCGGUUGUGAAAUCUCUGGGCUUAACCCAGAAAGGUCAACCGAUACUGCGGGGCUAGAGUGCAGAAGGGGCAACUGGAAUUCUCGGUGUAGCGGUGAAAUUCGUAGAUAUUCGGAAGAACACCAGUGGCGAAGGCGGCUCACUGGCCCGGUACUGACGCUGAGGUGCGAAAGCGUGGGGAGCAAACAGG
rnacentral:rRNA from 1 species